rnacentral:rRNA from 1 species
GGGAUUGGCGGCAGCUUACACAUGCAAGUCGAGCGGUAACAGGGGGUGCUUGCACCCCGCUGACGAGCGGCGGACGGGUGAGUAAUGCAUAGGAAUCUGCCCAGUAGUGGGGGAUAGCCCGGGGAAACCCGGAUUAAUACCGCAUACGCCCUUUGGGGGAAAGCAGGGGAUCUUCGGACCUUGCGCUAUUGGAUGAGCCUAUGUCGGAUUAGCUAGUUGGUGGGGUAAAGGCCUACCAAGGCGACGAUCCGUAGCUGGUCUGAGAGGAUGAUCAGCCACAUCGGGACUGAGACACGGCCCGAACUCCUACGGGAGGCAGCAGUGGGGAAUAUUGGACAAUGGGGGCAACCCUGAUCCAGCCAUGCCGCGUGUGUGAAGAAGGCUUUCGGGUUGUAAAGCACUUUCAGUGAGGAGGAAAACCUUCUGGUUAAUACCCAUGAGGCUUGACGUUACUCACAGAAGAAGCACCGGCUAACUCCGUGCCAGCAGCCGCGGUAAUACGGAGGGUGCAAGCGUUAAUCGGAAUUACUGGGCGUAAAGCGCGCGUAGGUGGUUUGAUAAGCGAGAUGUGAAAGCCCCGGGCUUAACCUGGGAACGGCAUUUCG